UAAGGAAUAUUGGUCAAUGGACGCAAGUCUGAACCAGCCAUGCCGCGUGAAGGAUGAAGGCCCUCUGGGUUGUAAACUUCUUUUAUCUGGGACGAAAAAAGGGGAUUCUUCCUCACUUGACGGUACCAGAGGAAUAAGCACCGGCUAACUCCGUGCCAGCAGCCGCGGUAAUACGGAGGGUGCAAGCGUUAUCCGGAUUUACUGGGUUUAAAGGGUGCGUAGGUGGGUAGGAAAGUCAGUGGUGAAAUCUUCGGGCUUAACCCGGAAACUGCCAUUGAUACUAUUUAUCUUGAAUACUCUGGAGGUAAGCGGAAUAUGUCAUGUAGCGGUGAAAUGCUUAGAUAUGACAUAGAACACCAAUUGCGAAGGCAGCUUACUACAUAGUUAUUGACACUGAGGCACGAAAGCGUGGGGAUCAAACAG
rnacentral:rRNA from 1 species